UACAGAGGUCUCAAGCGUUGUUCGGAUUUAUUGGGCGUAAAGGGCGCGUAGGCGGCGGGGUAAGUCGGGUGUGAAAUCUCAGGGCUCAACCCUGAAACUGCACUUGAUACUGCUCUGCUUGAGGACUGGAGAGGAGACUGGAAUUCACGGUGUAGCAGUGAAAUGCGUAGAUAUCGUAAGGAAGACCAGUGGCGAAGGCGGGUCUCUGGACAGUUCCUGACGCUGAGGCACGAAGGCCAGGGGAGCAAACGGG
rnacentral:rRNA from 1 species